AUUGAACGCUGGCGGCAGGCUUAACACAUGCAAGUCGAGCGGGGAAGAGUAGCUUGCUACUUUACCUAGCGGCGGACGGGUGAGUAAUGCUUAGGAAUCUGCCUAUUAGUGGGGGACAACAUCUCGAAAGGGAUGCUAAUACCGCAUACGUCCUACGGGAGAAAGCAGGGGACCUUCGGGCCUUGCGCUAAUAGAUGAGCCUAAUUCGGAUUAGCUAGUUGGUGGGGUAAAGGCCUACCAAGGCGACGAUCUGUAGCGGGUCUGGGAGGAUGAUCCGCCACACUGGGACUGAGACACGGCCCAGACUCCUACGGGAGGCAGCAGUGGGGAAUAUUGGACAAUGGGGGGAACCCUGAUCCAGCCAUGCCGCGUGUGUGAAGAAGGCCUUUUGGUUGUAAAGCACUUUAAGCGAGGAGGAGGCUACCGAGAUUAAUACUCUUGGAUAGUGGACGUUACUCGCAGAAUAAGCACCGGCUAACUCUGUGCCAGCCGCCGCUGUAA
rnacentral:rRNA from 1 species